GGUCAGUGAUGAGCAGUAAAAGGUCUGAUUACCCACAAUCCUCCCCCGGCCGCCCUCUGGCUCCCAGCAGCCCCUGUUCUGUGCUCCCAGCAUCCUCCAGUAAAGCGAUGUUGGUCCCAGAGCAGCUGCUGACAAGAAACAGGAUGUGACAUCAUAGCGUGGGCCUGUACCGAGUUCCUACUGGCUCACAGUGAUGACAUCACAUCCGACAUGACCAAUCAGCACGGAGCGUCAGGGUCAGGUGGUGGGAGGGUAGGGCGCUGAUCUCAAGUUUUCAACCUGAGGCC
ensembl:scaRNA small Cajal body-specific RNA 6